CUUGGGAAACUCACAUACUCUCCCUCUGUUCGUGUUCUCCACAAUGAUUUAUUUCAUAUUCUCCUCAGUGGUUUUAUUCUUUCUCUUAGUAUUUUCUUAAGGUCUUGACAAAGCCAUGUGCCUCUUCCCAAGAACCACCAAGGAAAAGAGUGGCUAUUAUUUUUUUCCUGGGCCUGAGUUAGUUUAAUGGGUAAACAGGGUGCAGAUUAAAGUGAGUGUGGCCCUCAAGCCCAUUUACUCAGACUUCUGGAGGAUUUUGAAAGUUGCUGUUCUAAAAAAAUGAUCACACCUAACACUGGAAUGGGCCACUUAAAAUGUGCGGAGAGGGUGGAGAGUGGAAACGCCCCACCCAAGGCUGUUCUCUCACCCAGUCCCACCUCUCCCAGGUAACUUGUUAAUAAUUAACUGUAUUUUGUGUUUUUUCAGUGCACAUUUUGAAAAAUUAUAUGAAUUUUAAACACAGAUGGAAUCAUACUUUACAUUUACUUUCUGUAACUUCUUUUUUCCACUUAAUAUUUCUUGGACAUCUUCCCCUGUCAGUACACCUGUCUCAUUUUUUUUACAGCAUAGAAUUUUCCAUGGUAUGGCUGUACCAUAAUUUAUUUAACCCAUCCCUUAUUGGUGGACAUUUAGGUUGUUUCCAGUAUUUUGCUAUCACAACGCUUCCGUGAACACCUCGAGCACAUGUGCAAGUAUACCUGGGGGAUAGAUUCUGCAGUGUAAUUGCUGUGCCACAGGGUAUGACCAUCUUCCAUUCUGAUAGAUGUUGAGACCGCUGCUUCUUGAAACCUUAGGGCCCAGGCCUACCUGGGGCAGGGGAGGAUAGUGGGGGUGGGGGAGGAGAUCCCUACAACUGGUUGUUCAUCUUCCCCAGCUGCGGCUUGAUGAGACCCAGGAGGCAGAGUUCCAGGCCCUUCGGCAGCAGCUUCAACAGGAGCUGGAGCUGCUCAACGCUUACCAGAGCAAGAUCAAGAUCCGCACAGAGAGCCAGCACGAGAGGGAGCUGCGGGAGCUGGAGCAGAGGGUCGCGCUGCGGCGGGCACUGCUGGAGCAGCGGGUAAGGGGCCCAGCCUCCAGGACUGGGGAGGGAGGGUGGGCUCCUGCCCCCAACUCUAACCUCUGUUCCGGAUGCCCCAGGUGGAAGAGGAGCUGCUGGCCCUGCAGACAGGACGCUCUGAGCGAAUCCGCAGUCUGCUUGAGCGGCAGGCCCGUGAGAUCGAGGCCUUCGAUGCGGAAAGCAUGAGGCUGGGCUUCUCCAGCAUGGCUCUGGGGGGCAUCCCGGCUGAAGCUGCUGCCCAGGGCUAUCCUGCUCCACCCCCUGCCCCAGCCUGGCCCUCCCGUCCCGUUCCCCGUUCUGGGGCACACUGGAGCCACGGCCCUCCUCCACCAGGCAUGCCCCCUCCAGCCUGGCGUCAGCCGUCUCUGCUGGCUCCCCCAGGCCCCCCAAACUGGCUGGGGCCCCCCACACAGAGUGGGACACCCCGUGGCGGAGCCCUGCUGCUGCUAAGAAACAGCCCCCAGCCCCUGCGGCGGGCAGCCUCGGGGGGCAGUGGCAGUGAGAAUGUGGGCCCCCCUGCUGCCGCGGUGCCCGGGCCCCUGAGCCGCAGCACCAGUGUCGCUUCCCACAUCCUCAAUGGUUCUUCCCACUUCUAUUCCUGAAGUGCAGCGGGGAGGAGCAGAUGAGCUGGGCAGGGCAGGGGUGGGUGGAGCCUGACCCUGGAGGGCACUGAGCUGGAGGCCCCUGCAAGGGUAGGGGACAAGAUGUAGGCUCCAGCUCCCCUCAGACCUCCUCAUCUCAUGA
rnacentral:sRNA from 1 species